AUACAGGAAAUAGAGAAGUUCAGUAUUUAUUUCCAGCAUUUUAGUAGCAUUGGCAUGUUUAACCUGUUUUUUUUUCAGGAUUCAUCACCUCAGUGGACCCAAACUGGCUCCUUUAUUCAUCUGAUUGGUUCCUGCACUCUUACUUUUAUCAUCCACUUGGUGUUGUUUACAGCAGAGUGAACUUCAAAUCCUCACAUGAAGCAGCAGUGAACCUCGCUACAGAUCUAAGAAGGAGGAAACAAAGUCAUCCUCUCACAUGAUACCAGGGCUGAGCCAGGCUGGGUGUAGUUACCCAGAUGAGGGCCACUUUUGUGUGUAAAAAAUAAGGAACUGAGAAAAAGUGUUCAGACUGCCAGGAAAAUGAAACCAGAUGUUUCUACGUCUCCAUGGCUGUUCCAGGUUGUUUUUAACCACUGACCGAACAGCCACAGUAUGGGCUACCUGACCUUUUAUACAGCCCACAUUCAGGGGAGACGUACAGUCCAACAAGUAGCACUGAACCUAAUUUCCAUAACUUGGGCCGGACCUUGUGGUCAGACCGUACCUGACCCUUGUCUGACCUCCAUCACUGGUCCUCCUCACACUGAUGGAUUCCUAUGGUCGGUGCGACCAAAGUGUCACCACAGCAGAGCAGAAACCUUAGUUCUGUCUGGUUGUGAUCACCGAUGACCGACUCCUCAGACAGUUUGACCGUAAAGAUCCAAUUUACGGUUGUGAGAGCCGUCAGAUUCUGGCUUCAGCCAGAACCAAGCUGAGAUGUUGUAUGUCAACAUGUGACUUUUCUAACAGCUCUCGACACAAGUCAGAAGAGCCCCGGUGGGCUCCGGUCCCACCACCCCCUCCUUUCAUUUAAGCUCUGCUCAAAUGAUUGAGGUUAAAAAUGGAAAAGCUGAGCAGAACGCCCUCCUACAAGCUCCUUUUCAUGAGGUUUAAAAGACAUCUUUUCAUCUCCUCUCUCCACUCUGCAGCCAUUGAUCAGCUGUCUCUCACAGACUGCCUCCAGCUGAGCAGGCCUCUGUUCAGGGCUCCUAAAGCCACACUCUGUCCUUUUGUGCGCACAUAGAAAAACCCCAAUCAAAUUGCUGAUAAAUUGACAGGAAAUCAUCUGCGUUGACAUUUCACAAAUUGAAAGAAUCAACAGUUUAGAAAGUUGUUGCGGCCGUGGCCACAGGUUUGGUUCAGGAUGUAGAAACGCCGCGUCUGUUGCCUCAUCCUCUCAGCAGAGGACGGCUGCGUCAGCGCUGUGACAGCAGGGACAGGUCUGGACCAUCAUUACUGACGCCGGACGCUCCGUGUAAGCACCUUUGGUCACCUCGGGAGAGUAAAACUGUGCUGCGCUGCGCCGACGGCCAUAAUGAGCUCCCCGCAUCUAAUGAGGAGAGGCCGAUUGCCAUUGUCUUCCAUCAGCCCUGUGCAUCCACUCUAUUACAUCCUGAAACGCCUGGGAGAACGCAGCAGCAGCAGCAGCAGCAGUGGUGGCAGCCGCAGCAGC